rnacentral:rRNA from 1 species
UAGAUACCCUGGUAGUCCACGCCGUAAACGAUGCUAACUCGUUUUUGGGGCUUUAAGCUUCAGAGACUAAGCGAAAGUGAUAAGUUAGCCACCUGGGGAGUACGAACGCAAGUUUGAAACUCAAAGGAAUUGACGGGGGCCCGCACAAGCGGUGGAUUAUGUGGUUUAAUUCGAUGAUACGCGAGGAACCUUACCAAGGCUUAAAUGGAAAUUGACAGGCUCAGAAAUGGGUUUUUCUUCGGACAAUUUU